UGACAACAUCCUCUUUAUUGACAGUUUUCCCCCACAUGGAUUCCAUAGAAGAAGACAACAGAUUUCAUGGUCAUUUUGGUCAACCUGUUGUUUAGCCAUAAGUAACCAUUGUUGUCAACAUCAUCAUCAAUGCUAAAUAUAUAUAUCAUACACAAUAAAUACAGCACAACCCAGGCAUUGAGACAAGACACAUCAAACACCACCAACAACAGAAUAUCUGAAUAGCAUAUUUAUAAAAGAGAAACUUAACAUAGUAUGUGGUGCAGUGAGAGAGAGAGAGAGAGGGAGAGAGAGAGAGAGAGAGAGAGAGAGAGAGAGAGAGAGAGAGAGAGAGAGAGAGAGAGAGAGAGAGAGAGAAAGGUGGGAGAGGGGGAGAGAGAGGUGUGUGUUUUGGAAUGUUUAGUUUCUAUAUCAAGAGUAAAACUUUGCACAAACUGAAACUAAACUUCCGAGUCAGUAAAUGGUCUAUCGCAUGGUGUCAUGUUGCAGUUUCAGCGAGUCGUCAGGACAUCUAAAUGGUCUAUAGCAUGGUGUCUUGUUGCAGUUUCAGCGAGCUGGAGUCGUCAGGACAUCUAAAUGGUCUAUAGCAUGGUGUCUUGUUGCAGUUUCAGCGAGUCGUCAGAACAUCUAAAUGGUCUAUAGCAUGGUGUCAUGUUGCAGUUUCAGCGAGCUGGAGUCGUCAGGACAUCUAAAUGGUCUAUAGCAUGGUGUCAUGUUGCAGUUUCAGCGAGUCGUCAGAACAUCUAAAUGGUCUACAGCAUGGUGUCUUGUUGCAGUUUCAGCGAGUCGUCAGGACAUCUAAAUGGUCUACAGCAUGGUGUCUUGUUGCAGUUUCAGCGAGUCGUCAGGACAUCUAAAUGGUCUAUAGCAUGGUGUCAUGUUGCAGUUUCAGCGAGCUGGACUCGUCAGGACAUCUAAAUGGUCUAUAGCAUGGUGUCAUGUUGCAGUUUCAGCGAGCUGGAGUCGUCAGGACAUCUAAAUGGUCUAUAGCAUGGUGUCUUGUUGCAGUUUCAGCGAGUCGUCAGGACAUCUAAA